rnacentral:rRNA from 1 species
UACGGAGGGGGCUAGCGUUGUUCGGAAUUAUUGGGCGUAAAGCGCACGUAGGCGGCUUUGUAAGUUAGAGGUGAAAGCCCGGGGCUCAACUCCGGAAUUGCCUUUAAGACUGCAUCGCUAGAAUUGUGGAGAGGUGAGUGGAAUUCCGAGUGCAGAGGUGAAAUUCGUAGAUAUUCGGAAGAACACCAGUGGCGAAGGCGACUCACUGGACACAUAUUGACGCUGAGGUGCGAAAGCGUGGGGAGCAAACAGG